GAUGAACGCUGGCGGCGUGCUUAACACAUGCAAGUCGAACGGAAAGGCCACAGCUUGCUGUGGUACUCGAGUGGCGAACGGGUGAGUAACACGUGGGUGAUCUGCCCUGUACUUCGGGAUAAGCUUGGGAAACUGGGUCUAAUACCGGAUAGGAAUCACAUGUGGGUGUGUGGUUGGAAAGCUUUUGCGGUAUGGGAUGAGCUCGCGGCCUAUCAGCUUGUUGGUGGGGUAAUGGCCUACCAAGGCGUCGACGGGUAGCCGGCCUGAGAGGGUGUACGGCCACAUUGGGACUGAGAUACGGCCCAGACUCCUACGGGAGGCGGCAGUGGGGAAUAUUGCACAAUGGGCGCAAGCCUGAUGCAGCGACGCCGCGUGGGGGAUGACGGCCUUCGGGUUGUAAACUCCUUUCGUCAGGGACGAAGCGAAAGUGACGGUACCUGGAUAAGAAGCACCGGCUAACUACGUG
rnacentral:rRNA from 1 species